AGGGCCACACCUGCUGCAUAUGGAGGUUCCCAGACUAGGGGUCCAAUCAGAGCUCUGUAGCUCUGAUUCAACCCCUAGCCUGGGAAGCUCCAUAAGCCAUGGGUGUGGCCUUAAAAAAAAAAAAAGAAGAAAUAGAAAGAGCCCAUGUUUGACCACAUUAUGGUGAGAAACCAGAUUUUGGUCCUAAAAAAAAAAAAAAAAAAUUCUUUUAGCAAAUUGCUCUACAGUUAAGAAAAGAAAAAAAAAAAGAAAGGAGAAAAGAACAACCUGCUGGCUUCAUCACCAGUUCUCAAAGCACAGAUUCACACUCACCCCUAUAGCACAGAUUCACACUCACCCCUAUAUUCUCACUCCCAACAGGUGUCUUUGUUCUCCAGAGAUGGGAACCCCAAGGGUAAUUUAAGUGAUGGAAGGUUGCAGGAAACUAUCAUUAUGUAUCUUUAUGAAAGGACCUUUUUGUUAUCUUGGGAGAUGAGGGUGGAAAGAGACAGGUCCAUCUGUUGAAAUUUCUGAUUAUCUGAGACCUCUUCCCUUCCAUGAGACAUUGUUCACAUGAGUUCUGGCAACUGAGCCUCCUUCCCUUUGUCUAUAUGUUUGCUUAGUUUCCAUCAAUUGGAUCACAAGCCUACUGGUCCAGGGACACACUUAUCUCAACAAUGGACGUUUCCUUUAGGUUUUCUUCAAGAUUGCUCAUGCUCCAACUGGAACAAGGCAGAACGGAGGGGUGUUCUUCCAGAUCCAGGACCACAGAAAAGCCUGUGAGGCAGCCAUCCAGAGUCCAUCUUCGCUCCUCCAAGCUCUGCCAGCUUGAUUCAAACUCUUACCGCAUUCUUCGCACUGCCACGAGUCUCACCUCCUCCAGCAAAGAACUUUCGCAUUUCUAACAGUACAGAGGACGAGGCCUGAGGAAAAAAAAGCCUGUGGACAGAACAGGCUGUCCUUGUUUAUAAGGAGCCAGAGGCAUUGUUCACGUGAGUUCUGGCAACUGAGCCCCUGGGUUUCCAACUCCAGAGCCAGUCCCGACUCAGGACUGACCCAGACUCCAGGAGAGGGUUCAGGCUCCAAGCCACAAGUUCUCCAAUCUGUCAAUUGUGGAGUCAAAGGUUAUUAGGGGGAACCCUGUUCUUGUGCAAAACAAGCAUUGUCAGCAGAUGGACAUUAAGAGAGGGGCACACACAUAUUGGUGCAAAUGCAUUAAGAAACAAAACCAUUUCUACAUAGUAGCUGAUUAUAAUUUUUUUUUUUCCCACAACAAAUUAGAGAGUGGACCCAAAGUAUCUGUAUGGGGCAUACAACAACUGGAACAUGAAAAAGGAGACCUCAGGUCUGAAAAGCAUUUCUUUUUUUUAUGUGCUGUGUUUUGUUUUUUGUUUUGUUUUGUUUUUUAGGGCCGCACCCAUGGCUUAUGGAGGUUUCCAGGCUAGGGGUUGCAUCAGAGCUGCAGCUCCCAGCCUACAACACAGCUCACAGCAAUGCCAGAUCCUUAACUCCCUGAGCGAGGCUGGGGAUUGAAGCUGUGUCCUCAUGGUCACUAGUCAGAUUUGUUUCCACUGAGCUACAAUGGGAAUGCCUGAAAAGCAUUUCAAUUUCCUCCUCUAGGCACCAGGGUCAGUUCCUACACUCAGUUACAUGACUCGGUCAAAUUAUGUUUGCAUUCACUGUUCUCAAAACCCAGCAGCUAUUAUGUGGCAGGACCAUUUCUAGACACGGGAGACACAGCAAGGAACAGAUAAAAGUCCCUAUCUCAGCAUUAUAGGGGCAGGGAUUAAAAUGGUACCUAUCUCAAUGGGCUAUUCUAAGAAUUUCAUACCAAGUAUUUUAGGUGAGGCCCUUAGAACAGAGUCUGGCACAGAAUCACUCUCUCAGUAAAUAGUAGCUCUUACUUAAAGCAGGAAAUGUCAAUUCCACAAGCUGUAGGAAGUAUGCUGGAUAUAUUUUUUUAAAGCGGGGUGGAUAGAAUGGCCAAAUGUCACAUCUGGCAUCACAUCUGGCCCCACCGAACCCAGGGCUGAGUGAGGAGAUCUGUCCGGCUCCAUGGCUGAGGCCCCUCCUCUCGUUCCCAAGGGUUGGCCCCGUUACAGACUUACUUUCCUCAUUAAAUAUGGGGACCCCCUAUGGUCUUUGAUACUUAAGGCCCAAGAAGGGAUUCCAUAAAACUGUGGUUCCCUCAUCAAAGAAUGUCUAAAAGUCACUUAUGAAGGUGCUCUGGGUAUGCGUGUCAAUGAUCCUUCUCUUGAGCCUUUCACUCCAAUCAUAGAGGGCUUGUAUUAUUCCCCCAAUCCUCCUUGUUCUUUAAUUCCACCAGGCCUUUUCCCAGCUAUUCCUGUUGAAAGGUGUGCCCUUCUCUGUUCUCUUUGCCUUGAUAUACCUGAUAUAAUUCCACCCAUCCUUGAAGACCAAGUUCAUACAAAAGCUCAUCUCCAUCCUUCCUGAACUCUGAAAUGGGCAGCUGGUUCUCUCACCUCUUCCCACCUGAACCCUAUCACAGCCUCAUCUAUUGGGUUAUUCUCACUCGUUUUAUGUUAUCCUGUCAUUAGAAAAUUCUGCUUGAAUGUUUAACAUCAAAUUCAGGGCAAUGGGCACACCUCAAAUAUUUCUUUUGCUCAGUUAUUCAGAAAACAUUUACUGAGCUCUGUUCUGUUCCAAUAUGCCAGGUGUAUGGCAAUGAGCCCACCACCCCAAAUGCCUGCCUGCCCUCUGGAACUGCCAUCCUAAUGGAGAAACUGCUCCUCACCCCUCUCUGCCCACACCUGUCCUCACCAGAUUAGCUGACCACCUACCCACCAAGAAGAAUUCCAGGUGUGAGAACCAGUUGUGUGGGGCAUGUUUUCAUGAAUAAAUAAAUAACUUUCACUUCUAGGUUCUUUGAAGUGUGAAGCAAACCAAAUGCCUAAAGCCAUGUUCCCAUGGGCUAUCACCACUAAGUUCCACCCUCUACCUCAUGGUCUUGGUGAUUUGGUGCCAUUUUUACAACGAGGAGGCACUUUAUCCAUCAAAAUUCAACUCCAUGCCUGUAGGGAACAGGGCAGAAUCGUUUCCUAGGAAAGAGAUCUUCCCAGCCAAGAUGAACCACACUCACCAGGGCCCCAAUGCAGAUUUUUCUUCUCGAAGCUGGAUAGGACUUUUUUUUUCUCACGCUGAAUUCCCUCAGGAUCUUUGCACAGCCCACCUGCAUCACCAGAUCCCUCACUUAUUUACCUACUGCCCCAGCAUUGCACCUGGCAUUUCGCAUAUGCAAGCAUUUCUCUUCCAAUUCCACCGCAAGCUCCAUGACUCCUGAAACGCCCUCAGAAGUCACACCACCUCACACCAUGUGAACACACACAGCAGGUGCUCAAUAAGUGCUUGCUACACUUCAUCUCUAGAAAUUAUUCUUACAUCUCACCUACUGUGGAGGAGGGAAGCCCAAAUCUGCACACCACCCACACCCAAAGUAAAACUCUAACUCACUUCCAGAAAGGCAAUAAUACAAACUUCUAAGAAGAAAAACCAUCCAAAGAAUAAACAGCAUUGGCCAUGUGGAGCUUUCCAUGAUCUCAUCAACUUUUUCUAGUGUGCUAAAAACCAACCUAUAACUAGCUGGCAUCUGUCUGUUGCAGAGACGUGAUCUUAAAUGGUCCUUCAAAAACUUCACUGGUAUCUCCUUCUUAUCUUAAAAAAUUGCAAUCAAACCUCAGGAUUACUGUAUAAUGGACUGUUGGUUUUUUACCCCUCUAACUAACAUUUUCUGUGCCCUUACUGUUUGGGGCCUCUCUGUAAAACUGCUUUGUGAUAAAUCAUUCAAUAUCAAAAUACCCCCUAUGAAAUUGGUCCUUCUACUGGUCCUAUUUUACAGCUGCUAAAAUAGAGACUCAGAGAGGGUAUGUCACAUGGUUUAGAACCUGCCAAUCAAACCAAGAGCAGCUGGCCUCAUGACCCACAUACUAUGCCAGGCAUCAGAAAACUACAGCUUGAGGGCCAAAUCUGGCCUAUCUACCUACCGCAUGUGUUUGUAAACAAAGUUUUAUUGGAAUGUGGCAAAGCUCAUUUGUUUAUAUAUUGUCUAUGGCUUCUUUCAUGUUCCAACAGCAGAGUUAAGUAGUUGAGACAGAGACUGUAUGGCCCACAAAGCCUAAAAUAUUUACUCUCUGGCACUUUGCUGAAAAAGUUUGCCAACCCCUGGUCCAAGCUACGUUGGCAAAGAUAAAAUGUUGAAGUCAUAGCAUUCUCCUAAAAGUCUCAACAUAUCAUACACAAAGUACAGAGCUUGCAACAAAAACGGAAGAUUUCCAAUGACCUUAAAAAUCUAGAGUGGGAACAGUCUUUGCAAGUCAUCUGCCUUCUGUUUCUGAAUUAGAAGUUGAGCUUGGCAUUAGUAAAUGCCUUAUGACUCUAACUCCCAUUUAGAGAUAAAUGCGCUUGGAAUAUUAGACAUAUUUAUUGCUUGCAAAACUAUCUGUAACAAAGAAUAUUG
rnacentral:lncRNA from 1 species